rnacentral:rRNA from 1 species
UGGGAGGCAACAAGGAUAUGAUACCCUGGUAGUCCACGGCCUAAGACAUGAAUACUAGGUGUUGGCUUCCAUAGGGAGUCGGUGCCGCAGUACACGCAAUAAGUAUUCCACCUGGGGAGUACGUCUGCAAGAUAGAAACUCAAAGGAAUUGACGGGGACCCGCACAAGCGGUGGAGCAUGUGGUUUAAUUCGAAGCAACGCGAAGAACCUUACCAAAUCUUGACAUCCUCUUGACAAAGU